AUGUUGGCUGUGUGGGAGUGGAGGAAAUUUGUGCAAUUCAUAUGCAGUUGGAUCACCCACGUUCCAAUUUUCUCUGCAUACAAUAUAAACACUUCAUUUAAGAGCAACAGAUAUUCCAUGUGGGCCAAGCGGUUGACCUAUCCAAGACCAAGCAGCAGGUUCCAUGUAGCCUGCAAGCCUUUAGCCCUGACCCCAAUAGGAUUGUUGCAGCCCUCAGGAUCCAUGGAGAAGCCCAGGCUGGAGCACCGGAGACGGCCACGUGCAGAGAUGCCAGGCACUGUCCGAUUGUGAUUGCAGGAAACUGGAGCCCACACGGAACUGGCUGCCGCAGUAGGAGCUGGAAUAAGAGACAGGUGAGGCUGGGAGGAUUUCAACAGGUGCCCAAGAAACAUCACACACAGAGACCUUCAUGAUGAAAUUGGUUCAACUGACUCAUAAAGAAGUAAUACACUUGUCUCUUUUAAAAAUAUACUACACAUUUUUGUUUGGAGAGUUAAUCGAAAAAAAACCCAACACUUUUCUCACUCAGUUUUAAACAAGCUCUUUUCAGAGAGGCUAAAAUAAAAUCAUUUGUAGAUGAUUGUUGUAAAUAUCUUGGCUUUAGUUGUCUUUAAUAAUAUAUCAGGCUUCCUCUCCGUUCUUCCCACCAGCUCUGCCCUAACGAGUUGAGCGAAGCCUUAAGUCAUUCCACAUUUACAAAACAGGAGGAGUGUAUCUAAAAACAAACAAAAAGUCAGAAGGAUUAAUAUAAGAUCCCUGCCCUUGACACAAUUGAUUAAUUCUAUAAAAUGAUUAAUAAUAUAACCAGUAGACUGCCAUUUAAGACCUUCCCUCAGUCUAAUGAGGGCCCAAAAGAAAACACAUAAAGGAGAUGUCAUGGUUGGAAUGUGGAGUAUUUAGGAUUGAUCCUAGACAUUCCUCCAGCAGCUUCAGCACCACAGCAAUUGUGGAUUCUUGCUUAAAUAAUGUUCCCUUUUACUCCACUAGGUGUUACUGGUUUCCUAACGUUGUUCACCUUUGGGUAGACUUCCCUCCCCUUCCCCCUUUGGAUAAGCAACAAUUUUUAACCAAUCCUUGCAUUAAAUUCUCUCCGUUUGAAAUACUUAGAAUGGUUUUUGUUUUCUGAAAUGAACACUGAUAAUACAUAUACACAGGGGUUUGUGUGUGUGUGCAUGGAUGUAUGUGUUUACGUAAGUAUAUCUUAUCCAGGUACUGUGUAUCCUUUCCUUUUUGCGUUGGUGAUAUCAGAGUGUUGAUAUUAUCCUGUCUCUCAAUUUUUUUCAGUUAAUAGUACAUUUUGGAAAUCUUUCCAUAUCAGUUCAUAUGAGCUAGCUUCCUCAUUGAUUCUAAGGGAUGCAAAGUAUUUACCUGGUUGGAUAUCCCAUCAUUUAUGUAACCAGGACUCCACUGGUGAUCAUUCAGUUGUUUCUAAGUUUUUUGCUAUCAUCAACAACGCUGCAAUGAACAUCUUUGCGCGUAUAUGUUUGCAUACUUGUUCAAGUAGAUUUCUAGAAUGACACGGGGUUUCUGGCUUGCUCCAGUUUUAAAAACUGUAUUCAAGAAGAAGCCCCUGGUUUGUGGCCUCCUUCUGGUAAUUGGGUCACAGAUUUGGCUUUUCCAUGGGGGAGUCCUUGUGUUUUGUUUAUCAGUACUCCAAUCCCCAAAGAACUGAGACUUGGCUUUGCUCUUGUUAGUUUCUUACCAGAGGCUAAAAUCCUGUAUCUGAACCUCCUUCCAAGUACCCUGCUUUCUACUUUGCCACCUCCUAACAGACUUCCCUGAUGUCUGCUUCCAUAUUGGAAUAUUUCUGUACCUAAAUUCCAAUUUCCAUGCUUUACAUAUUGGAUACCUGUUAAUAAAUACUGAAUCUCAUUGAUACCAUCUAUAUCAACUUCAAUUUGUUGCCUAAAUUUCUGGAUAGCACUUUAUCUGCUGAAUUGGAUUGCUUGUAUCUGUAGAUGAACUUCUUGAAAACAGACAGAAUUGCAUAUUAUUCUUCUUUGUAGCCUUACGGGCUCUGUCUUAUGAUAGGGGCUUGCGUCUUGCCAUGAUGUACUUGUGCAUCUGGGAAUUAUCAAAGAUUAGGGGACGUAGACCUUAUGCAUGCUGAAUAUACUUUAAUUAGAAAAUGGAAUUAAGGAUUAGGAUAGAAAAAGGAAGUAAAGGGGAGUGCAGAGAUAGAGUUUCUGCAGUUCUGAAGAUCAAGUAGAUGAAAUUCGUGGUGUUUGCAUCCUGCUUUCAAGUACCAGAGCCAGAGGAAAGGGAGAGCUUGAAUGAUGUGGAGGAUGGAGUAUAGGAGGGUCUGAGGUUUGGUAUGAAGCUACCAGGAAGGUUAUUAUAGCCUCUUGGUACUCUGAGAUACUGAGGUUGGCUCCUGUUCCUCAUGCCAGUAACUCCAGUGACACAGUCACAUGCCUCUGGAACAGAACAGGAGGCAUUCACAAGCAUCUCACUGAAACUUCAGAGGAAGGAAAUCCUUUAAAGUAUCUAUUUUGCAAAAAGUGGUAAAUGCAAAAAGCAGACCGCCAGUUGUUGCCAAUGUGAUAUAUAGAACGUCAUUGUUCCUAUCGUUACAUGGUAAACUGCUUGUAUUAUUUAAAGGAAUAUAAAAAUAUCUAUGAGGACUUUCUUACAUUAAUUCCCAAUUUCAGUCCUCAUCAUCUUAGUUUUUCCAUAAAAUCGUGAAGUUGCUAACUGAAAAUUCUCCUGCCUAUAGUUUUUCAGGGCUCUCUAAUUCCUAUAGGCAGAAGAGACUAAUAAACACAGGAAUUCUGCCCGGGGAAGGCAAUGGCAUUUUCUGGUGCAGUAAUGCCUGAGAUGCAUCUUGAACAUGAAGAGUGGAGAGUUUGUCCAUCUGACAUCUGAUCAGAUAAGAGGGAAUACUCCAGGCAAGGAAAUGUCAUGAACAAAGCUAUCUAUGCAAGACCAAGAGAGCAACUAAGUUCAGAAACUGCACAUAGAUAAGUAUUGUUGAAAUGUAAAAUAGAAGGGGCAGUAUAUUCAUUAUCUAUAUUUGUAUAACAAAUGACCACAUAUUUAGUGACUUAAAACAACACAGUUUCUGUGACUCAGGAGCCUGGCAUGUUUUAACUGGGUCCUCUAUUGAGGGUCUCAUAAGGCUAAAAUCAAGAUACUGGUAUCCUUUCUUGGAGCCUCAGCUAGGGAGAAAUCUGUUUCCAAGCACCAUUGGUUGUUGGCAGUUGUAGGACUUGUGGUUGUAGGACUGAGGUCUUGUUUUCUUGCUGGCUCUCAGCAGGGAACUACUCCCAGCUCAGAGAGGUCACUCUCAGGUCCUUGCCAUGUGGCUCCCUCCAGUUCAGCAAUGGAAAAGAGUCCUUUCAGUGGAUCCCUCUCUCGAUUUGAAUCUCUUUGACUUCUGCAACCAGCAGGAGAAAACUCUCUGGUUUUAAGAGGCCCAUGUGAUUAGGUUAGGCUAACCAGGAUAAUCUUCCUUUCUUACUGUCAACUGAUGAGCAAACUUAAUUCCACAUGCCAUCUUAGAAUUCUGCCUACCACAGGCAGACCUUUGGAUAAUGACGCUGAACAAGGAACAGUUUUGGAUGCCUCGUUUUGAAUAGAUGUUGACACUUAAUGAAUAUCUACAAGAAAGAAAACUAUAUGUUAAAGGACUAAAAACUACAUAAAAUGAAGUCUGUUACUUAAGCAAAACUGAGGUGUUUUGCCUCAAGCAAAGGAGACAAAUUCAAAUUUGGAAAGUGACAAAGAGGAUGGAUUUGAUUUAUCUGUGUAGCAGCUGAUGGUGAGCGGAAGUCACAAGUAGAGCAGCUGAUGGUGAGCGGAAGUCACAAGUACAGGGCAAUACAGAGAAGAAUUUUAAUUCUCCACAUUCUUUGUGUCUUUUUUUUUUGAUAUUAAUUCUUGAACCUCACCCAGAUCUGUGGAUCCAGAAUCUCUGGGAGUAGAGCAGGUGGUCUUUACUGUAGAGUCAAAACUGCCUCUUUUCUUCAUGCCUCCUCCUGUUUAUUAUGUAGUCAACCUACCACCACCGCUGCCAUCACCUUCAUUACCACUGCUUUGUUAUUAUGGGUUUCUCUUAAAGGGAACUCAAAUCACAACUCAGGCAAACUUUAUAAAGUCCCUUUGAAGUAAGUUGAUAUAAAAUAUUAUAUGGAUAAAAAAGAUAAAGUGACCAAGGCUGCUUUUUUGUUUAUCCACUGAAACAGGAGAUUGUAGACUCAUGCUACAACAGGAAUGAACCUUGAGACAUUAUGCUAAGUGAAAUAAGCCAGGCAAAAAGGGACAAAUAUUGUACGAUUCCAUUUAUAUGAAGUACCCAGAGUAGUCAAAUUCACAGACACAGAAAGCAGAAAUGGUGGCUGCCAGGGCCUGGGAGAAGGGAGAAGUGGAGUUGUUGUUUAACGGGUGAAGAGUUACAGUUUUGCAAGAUGAAAAGUUCUGGAGGUGGAUGUUGGUGAUGGUUGUGCAAUAAUAUGAAUGUAUGUAAUUCCUUUGACACAAUACACUUAAACAUGGUUAAGAUGGUCAAUUUUAUGUUAAGUAUAUCUUACCACAAUUAAAACCAUUUUUAAAAGGGAG
rnacentral:lncRNA from 1 species